CUUUUGGAGCUGCCCUUGCAUAGGGGAAAAUCAGGGUCUAGUUGAGCAUUAAAAUAUAUAUUAGGUGUUAUUAGCUACCUAGCAAGGAAGAAGUUACAGGGUGGAGGAAAUAAUGGAAAAUACGCAGGACUAGUUUGAUUUGGACCUCUAAGUUCCCCUAGGUAUCUUUUUAACAUGUUACAUGCAAUACGUUUUUGCUUUCGGUGGGGACUAUAAAUUACAGAAAUGACCAGUUUUAUCUCUUUGUCUGUUCCCACAGCCCCUCUGUGUGGCAGGCAAGCAGAGGGCCAAAUGUGUGGACCAAGUGUUGUCAAUGAUCUGUGUAUUGAUGGCUCCAGGUGUGCAUAUGAGUGUGGGUAGCCACAUUUUUUGUUCUAGUACCUGUCUCAUUUUCCUCACUUUGAAUUGAUGUACUCUUUUCAGCAUGGGAUUGGUAGGUACUUGCAUACGUAUAUGUACAGUUCCAGUGACAGGGAAGUCUAAGGUGGGUUCCGACAGCUCUACCUUCUGGGGUACACAGGCCUCCCACUUAGGUACUCAAAAACAAGUUUAGGCGCUACUUCAUGCGAUUCUGCAGAUAUAAUUAAGGUCUUUCAGGUGACUUUAAAAUUAGGUGACCCCUUGAGAAAGGGGGAGGGCCUUAGGAGAAAAAAAAACCCAGAGGCCUGUGACAUGGGGGAAUUAUCCUUGUGUGCUUUGAAGACCACCAUGGUGUGACACUUCUCUCCUGCAAUGGCAAGGACCCAGACUCUGCCCUAGCAGGAGAGGGCUGCUGAGCUGCAGGUGGGAACGCAGCUGGCUGAUGGUGACUUGAGCCUUUCCAGAGCUGAGACGGAGGACCCAGCCACCACACGCCCAGACUCCAGAACGGAUGGUGUUGAUAGAGACUGUGUCUCCACUGUAACCAGAACGGGGCUUACAGGUCCUCACUUUCCACCAAGCCGGGAGUCAGCGUCAGAAUAUCUGGGGCGGUGGCACUCCUGAAACACGGCAUUCCAGCCGUACCGGGUAGCCUUCAGCGACUCCUGUGUUCUGCAGCUUCUCCAGAAACACGGGGGGUUUGUGCGCUUCUUUAGCUGCAACGAGAUGAAUUCCCUGUCAGCGAUGGAGUGGGCACUCACCAAAGAAUUCAGAGACCCAGCACGCUGCGCUCUUUCUUAAGGCCAUUUUCACUUUGGGUGGUAGGAGGAGGCUCUGUCUCCAACUUAAGUUUUUUACCAAGCAAAGGUUCAUUUGCUUCAUUCCACUGACUCUUUCCUCAAAUUAGGUCUGACAGACCCCCACAGUGCACUGGCCAUCUGCCACAUGGCAUGCCUGACACCAUGGGGAGAUGCCUCAGUCAUCACUUCGGCUUCACUCCUGAACUGCACUCACAGCCUUUACCAACUGCUGCCACCUAGUGACGGGACCAUGACAGUGCUUCUGGGUUAGCUGCCCUGAGACAGCACAGCAUUUCAGGGGAGGCAUCCCUAACGUUAGCAGCCUUAAAGAGGUCCCUCUAAACUAGGAGUGUGUAUCCUAUAAAUUACAAAUUCUCCUUACUAGUUUUUGUAACACUAUAAAAAAAGACAACUUUAUGACUUGGUCUGAAAAUUGCUAAUAACACUGAAAGAAAGUUACCAUCCAGUGGGAAAUGGCUUUCUUGUCUCAGUGCUGAAAAUUUCAGGGAUAAGGUCUUAUUUUCUUCUGAGCUACCUGUGACAAAUUUGAGGAUAUGUGUCUAUCUCCACCACCAGUGCCUCAUCAAGAGACAAAAGAGCAUUUCUGUUCAUGCUGGAUGUUGCCAGCUGCUUUGCUAUGUAUGUUUAAGCUCCUAGGCUUAAGGUCUUGAGUUAGAGGAUUAUAUCUAUGGAAUCUUACAUGAUAGCUUAUUUGCAAGGCAGAAUUAUGGGAGAUUCAUUCCCCAGUUCCUGUGGUGGCCAGGAAGGAGCUGGGCUGUCCCCUGUGCUGGCAGGUACCCGGUCGCUUGACCUCUCAGUGCAUGCAUUAGUGGGCAGCUGGAUUGGAGGUAGAACAGCCUCUCCUAGACGGUAGAGGCACCGCAAGGCAUGCCACACGAUUACCUGACCAAGGCUUAUUUAGGGGGAAGUAAAGUGAGGUUCAUCUCAUCCUAUCUGAACAGAUGACAGCGGUUAAGACACACUUUAAUGUCAGAGAAACACACAUUCCAUUUUGAGCCACUGCAUUACCAGGCCUGGUUAUGCACAUUUUAUCUUAAGUCGUUAUCCAAAGGGUGGGGAGGCCGAGAUGGCAGUCAGUUACAAAGGUCGGCUACUAUGUUUGCUCCAGGCCCUGCACACUGAGCUGUUGCCAGAAGUGCUAAUGGAAGCGCACCAAGAUACCUCUGUCCCUGGGCCCCUCCUGGGGCCUGAAGGACAGGGGUGAUCAACGCAUCUAACAACAGCUUUAGUGUGUGGUCGAAGGAAUGAAGUCAACCCUGCUGUCUGGGAAUAUGGAAUACAUUGCACAAAACAUUAAAAGCAUGGAUAUCUUGCAGCACCACAAUCCACAUUUCAAUCGUACUGUUGUGUAGAAGUAUCUAGGUGCCGUGAUCUGGACUGGGACCCUUGCUGGUGCCACCCACAGAGGAAUCUCAGGUAUAUCCCGCUUUGGCCUAGACCAGCCCUAGUUGUUGCAGCUGUUUAGGAAUUGAAUCAGAGGAUGGGGGAUCUCUUUGAAAAACAUUCUUGGAUUUAAAGAUUAUUGCCCACAACAUUAAGAGCUCUGCAUAUAAAGAAUUUGCUGGGACCAGUGUUAUGCUGUGGCUGGUUACUAGUUCCGGUUCAGGUCUCAGCUGCUUCGCUUUUGAUCUAGCACCUUCCUGCUUGGGCCCCUGUACCCACUGGCGAGACCUGAAAAAAGCUCUUGG